GGCAUGGUAAUUGAAUCUCGGCAUGUGAUCGAUCAAAUCACUGACACUUAUCGGUCAUUUUCGUGUUCACGGAGAACUACGAACAGACAAGUUUUUGUCGAAUAUACAUGCGAAGUAACCCGAAUAGUCCAUUCGUUACAUUCCGUUGAUGUACGCUGCCGAAAAGAGUCAUUCGUUCAAUUUUUAUUUUAGUCCAAUUUUCCCCUAUUUUUGGUUAGUUUGAACUUAAUAGUUAAAACCGACAGCUAUCACAUACGAAAUUGGAGAACAAAGUUGUGUCAUUUCAAUUUUAAAAUUUACAGACAAUUAAAAAACCAUUUCCGUAUAAAGUUAAGAAGAUGACUGUACAAAAAAUACGUUUGGACACCCUUUAUUAAAU
rnacentral:lncRNA from 1 species